GGGACCGUCCACGCAGGCUGGGCGGGAGCGUGGGCCCGUUGUGUAGAAUCCAGCCCCGCCGUCCGAUCCGGUUACACCCUCAGGGAGUGUGUAUCCACUCGGCCUCAGCGCUGCCCGCCCCGAAGCGCAGAGGCCCGCCCUGACUCAGGCGGGCCAGGAGCCAAGUGGUGCAGAUGCUCUCCGCCACGAGAUGUCGCUGUGGCGCUACCUGGAGGAUGGCGGCGAGGGCGUGCGGAGGAGGGACCCUGGUGCGCGACCACCGCGUGUCGCGUGUCGCAGGCAACGCUCGAAGGCCGCGAGUCAGACGAGGCUCGGGGCCGCCCGGGUUCUGGAGAGUCUCCAGCUGGGGCCCAGCAGCGCCCAGCGUCAGGUCAAGGGGAUGCCCCUUUGGGGCUUUUGAGGUCCUCGCCCCCCAAGAAGUCGUGUAAACAAACUUGGGAGGGACCUCCAGAAAACUUUAGUCCAAGCCAAGCCUCCUCAAUGUGAAGGGGGGAAACUGAGGGCCACGGAGGGGCAGCACCUGGCAUCCCAGUCAUCUGGCCGUAGGGGGAAGAGUGAGCCAGAACCCAUGGCUCUGCCUGGUUACUGUUCAAAUAACUGACUCCCUGGCCGUCCUGCGUAGGUCAUGGUUUCUGUUAACACAGCAAUCCGAUCCUCCUUAGCACCCACUGUGGUUUGUAUUUGCACAUUUAUUACUGUCAUGACUCGGGCUAUUGCUUGCCUCCCCUCCUCUAGACAAGCCCGCCUGUUGCCUGAGACCAGGGGCCCCACUGAUCCUGUGUUCUGGUUGCCUGGCACAUAGGAAGCACUGGUAACAUUGUUGGAUGAAGGAAUAAUUGUGAAUACAUCUCAAUUACUCAAAGAGGAAGCAGAUCCAGAGAGGGGAGUUUGCUGGGAACAGUCACAGCGGCAGGCGCUCGGCUCUUCACGCCAAGAAUGUUUGUGGGCUCCCCGCCAGAUGCAGCACGGGCCAGACCACAGCUGAAUCCCCCAGGCAAUGCAAAGCCAAAAUCUGAAUUCCUCAAGGGCAGAGACUUCUGUCUGUCUCACGGCCGAAUCCCCAGAACCAGGAACAGAGUCUGGCACACGGGAGCCCAUCUGGGGGACAUCUCCACUGCCUGCCCAGAAACUCUGACAUCUCCUGCACUUCUCUCUCUCCACACACCUGUUUCAGGGACGUUGCUCUGUAUUCCUGCUGCCACUACCCAGUCCAGACCCCCAUCAUCACUGUCAACCUGGACUGUCACAAUGACCUCCUCCUGGCCUCCAGUCUCUUUCUCGAGUAUGCCCUCCAUAGCGUUUGCCAAAAUUAUUUUUCUGAACCAGGAAUUGUAAACCCAAAUGCCCACGACGGUCGGACAGGAGACACGAGCCAAGAGAGUUGAGUUUGUGUAUCUAACGCACAUGCUGGUCUUCAUUCCCACAAAGAUAACGUUUGUGUUACUGAAACCCAAGUUCGGUCGCUUGUCUCUUGAAAGCCAAUGCUCGAGAGAUAGUGACGGCGGGAAAGGAAAGGCUGCUUUAUUCAGGAGGCCAGCAACCUGGGAAGAUAUGGCGGACCAAUGUCCAAAGACCAUCUCUGAAGUCUCCGAGCAGUGGGUCUAGAAGAGGGAAGCACAGGGAAGUGUUGGGGGCUCAGCGUGCAGGGGAAACAGUGGUAUUCUCGAAAGGACCUCAAGCAGACCUGCUGGUGUCAGGAAAGGCUAUUUUCUUUUCUUUCCUUCUUCCUUCCUUUCUUUCCUUUCUUUCUUCCUUUUUCUUUCUUUCCUUCCUUCCUUUUCUUUCCUUCCUUCUCUUUCGUUUCUUCUCUUCUUUCUUUUCCCUUCCUUCCUUCCUUCUUUUAAAAUUUAUUUAUUUAUUUUGAGAGACAGGGGGAGAAAGAGAACCCCAAGCAUGCUCUGUGCUUUCCGUGCAGAGCCCGAUGCGAUGCUCAACCCCAUGAACCAAGAGAUUAUGACCUGAGCAGAAAUUAAGAAUCGGAUGCUCAACCAACUGAGCCACACAGGCACCCCAAGGCUAAUUUCUAGUGUGGUCAAGCUUGAUCUUCUAGGGACAUCUGGGUCCUUGUUUCCCCAGGGUUAGUGUUCUGUUGAAAUCUCAGAGAAGCUAUAAUUAGUCAAACCCCAGGCUAGAGGGCACAGGUCAGUGAAUUUGAAUUAUGUAGCCUUUAGGCUACUUGGAACAUUUUACUUGCUCUCAUGGUUUUUUGUUUGUUUGUUUGUUUGUUUUUUGAGACACACGUCCUCUCGGCCUCAUUUGUUUUCCUGCUUUUAAUACAUGUAGAAAACAGUGGUGCAUCUGACCACUGACACUCGGACCAUGCUGGGGAGGGCAUUAGGGAAUGGUGGGGACUGUAAUGAACUAGAGAGCCAUGCCCUUCCAGUGGGGGUGGUUCUGCUCAGUUGUAAUCCAUCAUUGCCACGUGUAAAUGCGGGUCUGAUGUUGACAGAUCUUCUGGUUUUCCGAAAGAAACCAGAGAUCAGGAUUUUUGUUAAUGUUUCAUUUUUGAGAGAGAGAGACAAAGCAUGAGCUGGGGAGGGGAAGAGAGAGAGAGAGUGGGAGAUGCAGAAGGUGAAGCAGGCUCCAGACUUUGAGCUGUCAGCAUAAAGCCUGACUUGCUGCUUGAACUCACAAACUGUGAGAUCAUGACCUGAGCCGAAGUCGGCCGCUUAACAAACUGAGCCACCCAGGUGCCCCUCCCCAUUUUUAACAUAGGCAAAUAACUCCAAGCUUUAAAAAAGCUCUGUGUGAGUCAUUCCCCCAUCCUGCUGGCAAGUCAAAAUGGUACGAUCUCCAAGGACAGAAUUUUGACAUUAAUUAUUAAAAUUAUAAGUGCCGUAGUCUGUAACUUGGCACCUGGACUUCUGGACAUCCAUCCAGCAGGUAUACUGGCAACAUGCAAAAUGAUGUGUUCAAGAUAAUUUAUUUCAGGACUGUUUGCAACAGCAGAAAAUCUGAGUGAAUCUAAAUGUCCACCUAUAGGGUACUAGUUAAAGAGAUUACUUUGUAAAGGGAUACUAUUUAGCUGUAAAGAAUGAGAUGGUUUCUUACAUAGGACAUCAACAGCACAAGGGACAAGAGACAAAAAUAGGUAAGUUGGAAUUCAUCACAAUUAAAAACUAAAA